GUUCGUUCAAUUUACUGGUUAUCACAACACUACCAACUAUGCCAUCUUCAAUCAACUUCCAAUGAGUUCCAGGGGUAUUAAAUGCUGCCUAUCUUGCAGGUUAAACAGUGUAACAAUAACAGUAACUGCUACAGUGCAGGCUAGCUAGCUACAUCAGUUGGACAUCUUACAACAUUUCCAAGAGGAUUUACUGGUGAAAUACUCCUGCACAAUAGAACUGAGUAGAGGAGAUUUAGAUUUGGAUUUAGAAUGGACAGCCAGUACAAAGAAUCAGAAGUGUGUAUCAUACACCAUGAAACAUCAAAAGAAGGUGAUGAAAUCUUUGGUCUUAAAGACUAUGAAUCCUGGAAAACAUUGCUGCAAGCAGCAUCAGCAUGUGAUAAGUUACUUCCAUGAAGACAGCUAGAUUCCACGGUCCAUUUGGGGGUCAGCCCUGUCAA